UCUACUCUCUUAUUGCUUGCAGGGCUUCUGAAGAGAAUUCUUAUCCUGUUACUUUAUAGCUGCAUCAUAGGAAUCUUGCUUUCCUCAGUGACUGUUAAAGCCCCAUGCCCUGUAUCCUCUGUCCCUGGAAUUUUCCAGGCAAGAAUACUGGAUCAGGUUGCCAUUUCCUGCUGCAGGGGAUCUUCCUGAAUGAGGACCACACCUGCGUCUAUUGUGUCUCCUGCGUUGG